rnacentral:lncRNA from 1 species
CCUGCAGAGUCCUUCCGUCAGUGAGACCAGAGAGUUGCUCAGAGUUGGGGCCACCAGCGGGUCUCAUGGCCACCUCUCUUCGAGAAGGAUUGGGAGGCCCAGCUGCAUGAGUCCUGCCUACCCAGGCUUCCCAGUGGGCCUUUGUCAAGGGUGCUUAGCUGCCUGAGGGCAGGAAGGAAGGAAGGACUAAGUCCUUCUCUAGGCACAUGUGAGCAGGAGGAGAGAGGAAGAACGGGGCAGGCCAUCAGUAUCCUGUACGGAUGGCAUGAUAGGAUGUAAAAGUGGAACAUGUAACAAAGCAGUGGCAUCAGCUACAGCGCAUAGGAAGAGCCCAGGUGCCCACAGCUGUCAAGGAUAAAACAGGCAUUUGAGAGCAGGAAGGCACCAAGUAUAAUUCCUCAACUUUAAAGAUAUAAAACAGGUCUGAUAAGAGCAUCCUCUCUUCUGCUGAUUAUCAUUUUCCACCUUGUAGAUAUUCAUGUCAAGCCUCGUCCCUGCUGAACUGAGGUCUCUUUGAGAGCCUGAUCUUCAGCCCAGGUUGCCUGAUUCCUGGUUUGGGGCCCAUUACAUCUUUGAUUCUACUGUAUUACUCACUUUGCAUCAAGAUAGGAAGAAUGGUUCUCCCUACGUGUUGCAUGUGAUCUAGUCGAGGAGUACUGUGGACAGGAUGACUUCCUCUAGAUGCAAGAGCAGACGCAGUUGAGGAUUCCAUGUUCAUCUGGCUGAGUGGAGUCAACCAGCAUGUUAGAGGUAUAACAUCCGUGAGUCUCACUCAUACACAGAGAAAUCUGGCCAGAAGAGCAAUCCCAAUGACUCAAGAUAGUCUCCCAAUCCUGAAAACGUGAAAAAGAUUUAGCCUAUGUCCUCAUUUGGGAUGUGGUCAGUUAUAGCAACCUUAAUUUGCUGGCUUUCUUUUCAGAAGAGCAUAUCCCGUCUAUAGUGUAAUGGGUUCGGAAGGCGAGUUACCUCUGUUUCCUCUUUGAGGACAAACUGCAUGAAGCUUGCUACGUUCUCUGCCACUGGGGUUAGAAGGGCCAUGAGCUGGGAUAUGCAGUGAUUAAACACUGUCAAGAUGAGGGCCCCUGAGGCAAGGAUCGCCGCCUUCACUCUCCCCCAGAGCCUACGGGGCGUGUAAACCUUGAGACCAACCAAGUAUUUCCUGAAGAUUUGUGCUGUGUUCAGUGCUAAGUUAAUUUUCAGCUUGCAGUCACUUAUGGUGGUAACUUCCAUAUUCAUGCAAAAUUCUUCUUUGACUAGGAUUAUUCAGGGUAACAUUUAAAGACUCUCUCUGAAUCCUUACUGUGUGAGAAUGGCUGAUCUGAAUAAUUUUGUGCAGAGGUGUUGAUUAUGGACUGAAGGUUUAUAUUUUUGUGUUAAUUUCAGGUAAGCCCUCUCUCUCAUUUAUUUGACAUUAACGUAACUGGAUAAUUUUGAAAUUCUGGUGGUUGUAUUUUUAAAUCCACAAAACAAAGUUCCAGUGCAAGUAGGUAUUUUUCACCAGCCAAAAGAUUUGAGUAUGUUGUAAAUAUUACAAAAAGGGCAAUAUUCUAGUCUAGCUACACGCCUACAGAUUUAUUUUUUGUGAACCCUAGAUCUAAGCUUUGUAUGGUGCACUCGCAGUAUCCACCUUGUCUAUCACCUCAGGCCGUAUUCAGUAUUUCCUCACUUAAAAUCCAUAAAGGUUUGGAUGAUCACAUCUCUACACGCAGUGGUCCUUUGGGCAUCCCUUUGAUUCUUUUGAAUUAGGAGAUGUUAGAAGUGGAAAAGACCAGUGAUACAUAUAAACCAGCAGUGUCCGAAUUCUUUUUUGUGGACCAACUGUGUCCAAGUCAAGACACCUGGGGACCUUUAAAGCCAUACAGAUCCUAGGACUCCAACCCCCAUAAAUUCUCCUUCAUUAGAAGGAUUGGGGUCUGGUCCUGGAAUCUAUAUUUUAAAAAAUGUGAUGCUCAGUUGAAUUUGGAAACAGAUGGCCUCUAGUAUAACACCCUGAUUUUGUAGAAGUAAACUGAGAUCCACAAAGGACAGAGGAAACAUACAUGGACACACAGCUGGAAAAUGACCCAGCAUGUAUAUCCUCAGUCUCCUUCAUCCUGAUUUCAUCACCAUGCUCUAAUUAUGAUGACAAUAUAACAAUCAAUGAUAACUCUGCCUACAACCACUACUCAACAUCUAUGCCUAUUGUGUACCUCCUUAGUACUGACCCUGAUGCCUCAUUUGCUUUGAUCCUCCUAAGAACACUUAUGAGAUAUGCCUUAUCUGCUUCCUAGGAUAACCAGGCCUCACAGUACCUGCUCAUAUAACCAAGCUCCUUUAAUGGUGUUUCUAUGUAUUUCCUGAUGACACGGUGAAUGACUGAGUCAGGACACUGUUAAUACUUUCCACUGGGAAACUGACCCUGGAAGGUUACAAUGCCCAUGAUUAGGAAUCAGAAGAUUACAGACAUAAAUGGCACAGAAGAAGGCAUUUUUAAAAGAGCUAAAUCUAAUGUUGUUCAUAAGUCUUCUACCGUGUUCUGAGGUUGCCAGAAUUGAUCAUUGCUACUUUAUUUUAAUCAGGAGCUGAAACUUUCUUGGUUACUGUCAAGUGGGAAAAUUCUCAGUGCUAAAAUAAUUUCCAGGUCCAAUCAAAACAAGCUUCCCCUCAAAAAACUGUCGAAAAUCUCAACAUGCAAUAGAUGUGUUAUGGACUUAUAAAAAUGGAGCCUGAUACUCCCCAGAGUCCUUUCCUGAUGAGGCUUCUGGAGGCACAGGAUUCCCUGAGAUGGAUUUUCCCAGAGGGAAUCUGGAGAAAGGUUUCAAGACAGAUUUUCCUUUGUGAGUGAAUGCCCUGGCAGAGGUGGGGGAGUGAACAGGCAGAUCCACCCAGGAUUUCAGAGCUCUGGGCGUUAGGCUACCUUAUCUCAGCUGGGCUGACUUCUCGCCAACAUCCUCAGUGCCAACCGCUCCUGUAGGUAAAACAAGACUGGCCACUCAGAGUUUAACAUCCUCGAGCUACUGUGAUAAGUUCAAGAAAGGCCACAAGAUCUGAGCUGGACCAAAUAGGGCAAAUGGGAUCCCAUCUUGGAAUCUGUUGGAGCUAUCAGGGGAAAAACAUUUUUUUUUUCUUUUGUAGUAUUCAAGAAGAUGGGACAUAAGCUUAGAGCUCCUGACGUCUUGUCACCAGGAAGGGAGAAGUUAACUAAGAGCUCAGCCACUCUAGAGGAAAGCAGAGAAAUUGAUGCAAGGGUCCUAAUGACAUUGUUUGAGCUCCUGGAUACAACCGUGUUUGAAGUCUCGUAUAUCCAUGAACUUUGCAGUUGUGUGAACCAAUCUAUUUCUUUUUGGCUCUUGCUCAAGUCAAUUGUUCGCAGACAUUUCUGUGCAUCAAAUCACCUGAGGAGCUUGUUAAAAUGUAGAUUUCUAUGCCCCACCUUCAGGUGGAUCUAUGGUGGGAACCAAAACCUUGCAUUUCAAAUAAUUUUCUAGGAGAUGCUGUGGCUGCUGGUCCAGGGGCCAUACUUUGAGAACCAUUGGCUUAGGAGCCUUUUUUGGUUUCUGCUGCUGAUAACCCAAACUGUCUUGAUUGACAUCAGAAGAUCUUUUCUAAAUGGAAAAAGAAUCCGAUGCGUAGAAGAAUUAAUAGAAUGAGAUAAAAUAAUGUGUUUGGGAACUAGUCAAUAAGCACUUGAAAAAGGACAUGGCCAUCCCUCAUGACUGCUUUGGACCAAACCAACAUUUUGUAAGGUGGUUUUCCACUGUCCAUAUGGCUAAAGGCAAGGCCGUUCGAGUUUAUGACAAAUGAGCAAAAACAGCAGGACUAAUACAUGUUUUGUCGAAGACUUAAAACCCGUGCAUUGAGAAAAUGCACAUUUUUCGCUCUGAUCCAGUCUGUCAACAAAAUGCUUUUCAUGAGAAACAUCAAAGCCAUUUCAUCUGCAAGUUUCAUUUUUUUGAAUCCCUUAAUCUACACUGUUGACAAAAAUUUCUGUCAAGUGCCUCAAACCAUUGUAUUAACAAAUUUUAUUUUGUCAGUCAUGAUUUAGCCCCCUUGCAAAGACGGUUUGUAAUAUUCCGCUCCAUCCUGCAGGAGGAAUACUUAACUGUUAAUGCCUCAAUCUUAAUAUUGAAAGCAACUGAAGAGAGAAAGUAAAAGUGGUGUGCUCAUUUAGCACAUCUGUUG